rnacentral:rRNA from 1 species
UACGGGGGGGGGCAAGCGUUGUUCGGAAUUACUGGGCGUAAAGGGCUCGUAGGCGGCCAACUAAGUCGGACGUGAAAUCCCCAGGCUCAACCUGGGAACUGCGUCCGAUACUGGAUGGCUUGAAUUCGGGAGAGGGAUGCAGAAUUCCAGGUGUAGCGGUGAAAUGCGCAGAUAUCAGGAGGAACACCGAUGGCGAAGGCAGGUCUCUGGGCAUUAACUGACGCUGAGGAGCGAAAGCAUGGGGGAGCGAACAGG